rnacentral:tRNA from 1 species
GCUGGGGUGGCCGAGCGGUUAAGGCGCAUGCCUGCUAAGCAUGUUCCCUUUGGGAGCCCGGGUAAAGACCUUUCUUUAUGAAAGAAAAGUCCUUAACGUCAAAAGAAAAACUAUUCCGCUUCGCGAAAUGGUCUGCAAUUUGGCUGUAAUUUCCGGUAUCGAAUCCCGGCCCCAGCG